ACACUAUUUUCUUUUUCUCUCUCUAGUUUGAUACGCCAUUCAAUAAUGAAAGCAGUAAGUUUCCUCUUUAUCAAUUUGCCAUCUUCAACUGCUCCAAUCCGAAUGUCCAGCAAUUACACCGCAAUUGAUAAUCAGAAUGUUUCCGGAUCUGUUCCUGCAGUCGCAGAUCCACCUUGCCAAGUUGCCGUCAAAUUCACUAGUAAUGUCUUCAGAUUUUCAACAAAAUUAUACAGUAGUAUUUUUGUGGAUCAUUUUGAACGGCUCCGGCACCAUCGCCGGACCAAGGCGGCGCGUAAAGAUUUCUCAAGCAACUUAUCUUGAUCAAAUUGGGAUUGAUGUUUACCAAAGUGGACCUAUUAGUCUAUGAAAGCCUUAUAAGAAUCUGAAGUGAUAUGUUUCUGUAUAAUACUUCCUUCCUUGUAUCCUUGAAGAAACAACGUAAUUUGGGAACCCUGAUCUUCCUCUUCAACACUGUCUGAGCCAACGACCUAUUUGAGAACCCUUUUCACUACUGGCUUCCGGUGAACGGCAUAUUCACCGGAAAUUAGGGUCUGUUCUUGAACAAAGACAAUGGAGUUUGGGGCUGAGCAACUUGAUUUUCUGUUAAUAUAUUUCAAUGUAUUUUCAUGUAUUUCAUUGUAUUCAUUGUCUUUUUUUUCAUUGUAAUUCAUUGUAUCUCGUCGUAUUUCAUGUAUUUCAUUGUAUUUACUGUCUUUUUUUCA